GACAGACAGCUGCACCAAUGCCAGACGAAAGGCUAAAAGUACAAAUACAUAAUAAAUUUGAUGAAAUUUCACUUUCUGUUGUCAACAUCUUUGUCGCCUGCCGUUACGCAUUGAUUGUCGAUUCCUCAUGAUUACCGGUUUCCAACCCAUACCUCGUAACAUGGCUGAACCAAAGAUAUUUACUGGCACUUUCUCGUAAUCUUCUAAUGUGCUCUACAGAGAAAAAAAUGACAUAUAUUUUUAUGAUUCAAAUGCAUAACAUAAUGUUAUUAAUAAAUAAUCAUAAAGAAGUA